GAUGAACGCUGGCGGUAUGCUUAACACAUGCAAGUCGAACGGUCACUUCGGUGAUAGUGGCGGACGGGUGAGUAACGCGUGAGAAUCUGUCUUCAGGUCGGGGACAACAGUUAGAAAUGACUGCUAAUACCGGAUGUGCCUUUGGGUGAAAGAUUUAUUGCCUGAAAAAGAGCUCGCGUCAGAUUAGCUAGUAGGUGGUGUAAGAGACUACCUAGGCUCCGAUCUGUAGCUGGUCUGAGAGGACGAUCAGCCACACUGGAACCGAGACACGGUCCAGACUCCUACGGGAGGCAGCAGUGGGGAAUUUUCCGCAAUGGGCGAAAGCCUGACGGAGCAAUACCGCGUGAGGGACGAAGGCUUUUGGGUCGUAAACCUCUUUUCUCAAGGAAGAUGAUGACGGUACUUGAGGAAUAAGCAUCGGCUAACUCUGUG
rnacentral:rRNA from 1 species